rnacentral:tRNA from 1 species
CAGGCCAGUAGCUCAAUUGGCAGAGCGGCGGUCUCCAAAACCGCAGGUUGGGGGUUCGAUUCCCUCCUGGCCUGCCAG